GCCGGGCAUGGUGGUGCAUGCCUGUAAUCCCAGCUACUCAGGAGGCUGAGGCAGGAGAAUCACUUGAACCCGGGAGGCAGAGGUUGCAGUGAGCCAAGAUCGUGCCACUGCACCCCAGGCUGGGUGACAGAGUGAGACUUUGUCUCAA
rnacentral:SRP_RNA from 1 species